AGUGAACGCUGGCGGCAGGCCUAAUACAUGCAAGUCGAACGGCAGCACAGUGGAGCUUGCUCCAUGGGUGGCGAGUGGCGGACGGGUGAGGAAUACAUGGGAAUCUGCCCAGUCGUGGGGGAUAACGUAUGGAAACGUACGCUAAUACCGCAUGCGCCCUUCGGGGGAAAGUCGGGGACCGCAAGGCCUGACGCGAUUGGAUGAGCCCAUGUUCGAUUAGCUAGUUGGCGGGGUAACGGCCCACCAAGGCGACGAUCGAUAGCUGGUCUGAGAGGAUGAUCAGCCACACUGGAACUGAGACACGGUCCAGACUCCUACGGGAGGCAGCAGUAGGGAAUAUUGGACAAUGGGGCGCAAGCCUGAUCCAGCAUGCCGCGUGAGUGAAGAAGGACCCUCGGGUUGUAAAGCUCUUUGUUGGG
rnacentral:rRNA from 1 species